GGGCGGGGGCUUCGCUCUCUGCUUCACAAUGGAGUUUCUCGGAGAGAAGUUGGGAAGUUGAAGAUGGAUCCGUUGAGGACCAGCAAAUCAGCUGGAGGGAGCUUUGGCUCCCGCCAGCUUUCGGCGUCUUCAUUUUACAGUCAACUUUAGGCAAUGGGUCACCUUUUGAGAUCCUAGGAGAUGCCAAACAAGAGGCUCGAUUCACACCACAGACUGAACCAGGUCAGAUAAAGCGGUAAAGAACUACAUUUACACAGUGUGGGAAGCUGCUGCUUGCUGAUCCGCAAUGGUCCGGUCCAUCUUAGGAGCCCAGAAGGAGCAACAGCAUGUGGGAAACAAUAAUGACCAGCUUCAACUUCUGCCUCCUGGUCUGGUCCGUCUACUACUUCUUGGGGAACGAGAGGGUCCACGAACAGUUCUUCAGCAACUUAGGGAUGGACCCCCUGGCCUUCCCUUUUGUGGAUCUGCUCCGCGUCAGCUCCCACCUUAGACUCCGCAUCUUCUACUACAUCAUCUCGGCUUUGCUCCUUGUGUUCCUCUCGGCCGUCUUCUCCCGGGACUAGGAGGCCAAGUCCUGGGGUCCUGGUGGGACGCCAGGUGCCCAUCGGGGACACUGAACUUGACUUACUUGUGGUAAUAAAGUCACCAGACGCUUU